rnacentral:rRNA from 1 species
UACGUAGGGUCCGAGCGUUGUCCGGAAUUACUGGGCGUAAAGAGCUCUUAGGUGGUUUGUCGCGUUGUUCGUGAAAACUCACAGCUCAACUGUGGGCGUGCGGGCGAUACGGGCAGACUAGAGUACUGCAGGGGAGACUGGAAUUCCUGGUGUAGCGGUGGAAUGCGCAGAUAUCAGGAGGAGCACCGAUGGCGAAGGCAGGUCUCUGGGCCACUACUGACGCUGAGAAGCGAAAGCGUGGGGAGCGAACAGG